UGCGGUUAUCCAUCCAGGGGAAUCCAAACAACAGAUUUACCCACCGUGUUGGGUGUGGAUCAGACAGUGCUCUUGAGCAACGUGUUUCUUUCAUGUUGCUCCCCACCCUGAGCUACUAUCUGGAAGAGCCGAUGGAGAGGAAAACACCGUUUCUUUUUCUUGGGAAAUAGGCAGAGGCACGUGGAAAAUCCACUACAGCUGUUCACCGCACCUGGGAUGCAUUUAAUCAGAACAUCAAGCAUCAGCCCUCUAAAAACAGGGUGGGAGUCCCUUCCUUGGGGAGGAAAAGGUAAUGGCCCGUGACUGCCUGCACAGUUCCCCCAUAAAGGAUAGAAACAGAUUGGUGAUUGAGGCUUUAGAAAACUCUUUCUUUCCCUCAAAUAAGUAUCCAGCUGAUGGUCUUGCUGUGUGUUGUUUAUUCUCAAGCACUUCAGGGGCCACUUUCUCUGAAGCUCAACUCCUAGGACCUGAGACCUGGAGAGCUGGCAGCUCAUUCUGAUCACACUUCCACCACGCACUCGCUCUGAAACUGUGGGCAAACCAUUUGAUUUCUGCUGCCUUUGUCUUCCCAUAAAAGAGAUUUUUUUUUUUUUUUUGAUAAUUCUCUAAGAAAUCUCAAGUGGUUUUGAGAUCAAAAGCUAGUUUUGAUUCUCUAUCUCAUUUCUUCCAGCUAUUCUGAGGCUUGUUCUCCUUGGUUUACAGAGGUUUAUAAAAAUGCAUUAUUUUCCAGCUUCACAGGUGAGAGCUGAGGAUUCCAAAGAGCGAAGUGGAUUCUGGCUGAGGCUGAGCCGGUAAUCAGCAUUGUUGGCUUUUUCUGAGUAGGUGCAGAGAGUGAAUGUACAUUCAGAAAUGCUUCGUGGUCCCUGUAUUCCAAGAAAAAAGAGGUUCUACAGGCUCAUGCUCCAACCUCCUUUUCCAGCAGUCAUCAGUGUCCUACCAAGCUGAAAAUACUGUGAGAUCCUUCCUCCAGAAUCAGAGGUCACUUCUCCAGCAAGCUUUUCAACAGGGUUUUAACUCUUCUAUGCAGCUGGCAAAAACAUUGAUCCAGCAAACUGAAAACACACAGUGA
rnacentral:lncRNA from 1 species